rnacentral:tRNA from 1 species
GGGGAGUUGGCGAAAUUGGCAGACGCUAAAUGCACUAUAAAUAUCGGUUUUGACGAAAAAUAUUCAAAGAUAGUCAAAACAAGUCGAGAAGUGUUGAGGUAUGUUAGACGUAUCAUUCCGGUUCGAGUCCGGAACUCUCCA